rnacentral:rRNA from 1 species
UAUUGGAGGGCCAGUCUGGUGCCAGCAGCCGCGGUAAUUCCAGCUCCAAAAGCGUAUAUUAAAGUUGUUGCGGUUAAAAAGCUCGUAGUUGGAUAUCGGCCCUGGUGGGGAGCCCCCAAGACGGGGGACACUCCCACAACACCGGACCAAUCUGUCAAUUGCGGUGCUGUCAGCCCCUUACCGGGCGGCAGUACGGGUUGGCACGAUUACUUUGAAGAAAUUAGAGUGCUUAAAGCAGGAAAGAUGAUCUUGCAUAAUCUUACAUGGAAUAAUGGAACUGGCCUGCGGGUCUAUUCUGUUGGUCUUAGGACAACGCAGAAAUGAUGAAAAGGGACAGACGGGGGCAUCAGUACUACGACGCUAGAGGUGAAAUUCUUAGACCGUUGUAUGACUAACAAAAGCGAAAGCAUUUGCCAAGAAUGUUUUCAUUGAUCAAGAACGAAAGUUAGAGGCUCGAAGGCGAUUAGAUACCGCCCUAGUUCUAACCAUAAACGAUGUCAACCAGCAAUCAGCCUGAUUUCUAAUGAGACUCGGCUGGAAGCUUCCGGGAAACCACAGUGUUUGGGUUCCGGGGGAAGUAUGGUUGCAAAGCUGAAACUUAAAGGAAUUGACGGAAGGGCACCACCAGGAGUGGAGCCUGCGGCUUAAUUUGACUCAACACGGGGAAACUCACCCGGCCCGGACACUAGAACGAUUGACAGAUUGAUAGUUCUUUCUUGAUUUGGUGGAUGGUGGUGCAUGGCCGUUCUUAGUUGGUGGAGCGAUUUGUCUGGUUAAUUCCGAUAACGAACGAGACUCUAGCCUACUUACUAGAACCAGGGUGAAAUCACUUGUGGUACUACUUCUUAGAGGGACAAACGGCUUUUAGCCGGCUGAAGUAGAGCAAUAACAGGUCUGUGAUGCCCUUAGAUGUCCGGGGCCGCACGCGCGCUACAAUGAAUUGGAAAGCGAGCAUGAGUUCCCGCUCCGAAAGGAGCGGGUAACCCCUUGGAAACCCGUUCAUGAUAGGGACUGGCCAUUGUAAUUAUUGGUCACGAACGAGGAAUUCCUAGUAGGUGCGAGUCAUCAACUCGCAUCGACUACGUCCCUGCCCUUUGUACACACCGCCCGUCGCUACUACCGAUUGAGUGAUUAAGUGAGGACUUCGGAUCAGACAGAGUGACUGCCUUAGGGUGGACACGAAGCGCUGCGAAGUGGUCCGAACGUGAUUGCGUAGAGGAAGUA